rnacentral:rRNA from 1 species
UACAGAGGUCCCGAGCGUUGUUCGGAUUCAUUGGGCGUAAAGGGUGCGUAGGUGGCGCCGUAAGUGGGGUGUGAAAUCCCGGGGCUUAACCCCGGGACUGCAUUCCAUACUGCGGUGCUUGAGGACUGGAGAGGAGACUGGAAUUUACGGUGUAGCGGUGAAAUGCGUAGAUAUCGUAAGGAAGACCAGUGGCGAAGGCGGGUCUCUGGACAGUUCCUGACGCUGAGGCACGAAGGUCAGGGGAGCAAACGGG